GAUUCACCAUGGCAACAAGUAGGCCUACUAACAAGCCUCGAUCCUCCUACUUCUCCCCAGCGGAGUUGCAAAUCGCGUGGGAAAAAAUAGCUGACCGAGUCAAUGCGUGCAACCCAACAGGCCCCAAACUGACUUGGCAGCAACUAAAAAUGAUAUAUAAAUGUAGUUCAAACAGCCAACAGAAAAAAGGCAGAGGCAUGCAAAACAGGUGGCGGUCCACCACCAUCACCUCUCACAGAGGCUGAAGAGAUGGCCGUCAGUCACAACAGUGGGCGACCCAUUGCUGAGGGCAUCUCUGGGGGGAGCUCAUUGGACCCACCCACGCUCCAGGACACAGGGGCCUACAUAAGAGUUACUGAUGAUGGUGUAAUCUGUCUCGUGGAGCCUUCUGCCAUAACACACCUCCAUGCUGUUGAGGAUGAUGAAGACACCUUAUCAGCUGCCACAGAGAGGGAAGUAAUAACUUUGGUUUCAGUUAAUUGUUCCACAAUGCAACUUGCAACUUCUUUCUCUCUAACAGAGCAAUGCCAGAAGUUACAAUGAGGAAGAAGGUCCAUCAACCUCCA